UCUUGCAUAUUGUCUCGUUGAUUAUGAAUGUAACGUUUAUAUAGUGGAACUACACUGUUUUAUCAAAACCAAAGUGCCACGCAGUAACUUGGUAGGCCCAUGCAUGUAUUUCAGCAGGAAAUGUGCAACCUAGAUUACAUUUACCAACACAGACUAUAUAGAAAUAUUUGUAAAAGUUGUUCAUGCGUUAUUAAGUGAAUAUGGCAUUAACCCUCCUGUUGUCUUUGGGUCGGUUUUCAUGUAUUUUUUAAUAAAGGUUUCCUUUAGGUGAUCCAGACAGGCAGUGGGUGCUGAACAUCCGGAGGAAUAAAUGGACCCCCAACGUUUCUUCUCGCCUGUGCAGUGAACACUUUGAGAGUCAUCACUUCAGCACGGACUCAUGGGGAAGGAGAUCCCUGAAAAACAUUUCAGUGCCCACCAUUUUCUAUUUCACCAAUGGCAAAGAACAACAGCCUAGAAGGAAAAGCAGGGACGCUUGAGGGAAGUUGCAACGCCUCGGCCAAUGUUCUCCACGUGAAAGAGAUUGAAGGCAUAAUUUAUAACUUGAGACCAUUUUCCAAAAGUUAUGACUUUUAUUGGCUUAGGUAGUAAUGGAUUACAUCUAACACGAAUCAAGAUCGUAUAAAAAAAAAGGAAAAUGUAAUCCUUAGUUACAUAGGAAAAGAUGUAAUCGGAUUAGUUUUACUUUUUUUAAUAAUAGGGAAACUCAGGAUUACAAUCUCAUUCAAAACCUAAAAAGAGCAUAUAGUGUUUGUUGUAAAAUAAUCAAAUUGUAUCUCUUCUCUGGAAGCGGUACUGUUCUGUAGGCUAAUACUUUAAUUGUGAAUCUAUACACCUACUGCCUGAAUCUGCUUUAUGGUAUUAUAUUAUACAUUUAAGUAAAAAAAUCAUAUUAAUAUUUCUUCUCUCCUGUGUUUAUUUGCAUUGCAUUUGAUAUUGAGGUAAUCCAAAAGAAAAAUAAAGUGAUCACGUUACAUUACUUUUAUAUCUUGAUACUCACAUUUAAGUUACUGGUUGUGUUUUUGGCAAGUAGCCCUCCCAACCCUGAACAUAAGUUAUAUCAUUUUAAUUACUGAUACAGUUGUUGCACAUCUUUAAUUUAUUUUCUAGUGUAUUUAAGUCAUAAAAUGAUUCGAAACCUUUAAUUUUCAUAAAAUGCAAGAUGUAACUUUCAAUGUGGCUUGUUAUCACAUUUUCAAUGUGAAAUAGAUCUGAUUUAAAUAAAGAGUAAAAGCACAAUCUUAAAUGUUGACAUUUAUCAUUUGCCUAUGCUUAUUGUUAAUGUAGUGGUGUUAUAAACAAAAUGUUGUCGUAAAGGAAAUUAAGAUGUUUUGUAUUUGUUGACAAAAGAUUUAAAGUUGAUGCUCACAACAUGUGGGAACAUUUAUGGAGAAAAAUGUUUCUAUUGUAAAACAAAUAUUUAUCUGCAUACUGAACAAUUUCGAAACUCUCUAAAAGGUAUUAUCUUCUGUGAUGUUACGACCCUGUUGGGAUUGUGGGUAUUGCACUUCAUAAUUACAUUCUAUGGUAUGCUUAUGACAUAUUUGAUGCCAAAAUACAUGGGAUUAGGGGAGACCUUCUUGUUGUUUGCAUUGUCACUGAUAAAUGACAGCGUAGUAUUCAUUGUCAAGAUUUUGUGUUUUUAAACUUGGGACUCUUUUCAGACUGCUACGGCUUGGGAAAAGAUUUGAGCCUUAAUGUGUAAUGUGUUCUGUAUUGUAUGGUAAGCUUAUCCUUUCAUUUGAUAGUCCCAUUUGGAUGUGAUAGCUAACAUUUUCAGUAAGCAGUAGACAAAAUAAGUGAAAAUAUGAAUGUAAUUUAUUUUCAAUAUUUACAUAAAUACAGAAUUAUUUUAACAAAUAAAAUAACAAAAAACAUCAUAACAAAUACAAAAUAAAAGGUUUGACAGACAGCCAUGCCCAGCAUGGGCCUGGAGAGCUACA